GAUCAUGGCUCAGAUUGAACGCUGGCGGCAUGCUUUACACAUGCAAGUCGAACGGUAACAGGCCGCAAGGUGCUGACGAGUGGCGAACGGGUGAGUAAUGCAUCGGAACGUGCCCAGUCGUGGGGGAUAACGCAGCGAAAGCUGCGCUAAUACCGCAUACGAUCUACGGAUGAAAGCGGGGGAUCGCAAGACCUCGCGCGAUUGGAGCGGCCGAUAUCAGAUUAGCUAGUUGGUGGGUAAAAGCCCACCAAGGCGACGAUCUGUAGCUGGUCUGAGAGGACGACCAGCCACACUGGGACUGAGACACGGCCCAGACUCCUACGGGAGGCAGCAGUGGGGAAUUUUGGACAAUGGACGCAAGUCUGAUCCAGCAAUGCCGCGUGCAGGACGAAGGCCUUCGGGUUGUAAACUGCUUUUGUACGGAGCGAAACGGCUUCUUCUAAUACAGGGGGCUAAUGACGGUACCGUAAGAAUAAGCACCGGCUAACUACGUG
rnacentral:rRNA from 1 species